AAUCAACGCUGGCGGCGUGCCUAACACAUGCAAGUCGAACGAGAAAGUGGAGCAAUCCAUGAGUAAAGUGGCGCACGGGUGAGUAACACGUGACUAACCUACCCUUGAGUGGGGGAUAACCUCGGGAAACCGGGGCGUAAUACCGCAUAAUAUCGAGAGAUCAAAGGAGCAAUUCGCUUAAGGAGGGGGUCGCGGCUGAUUAGCUAGUUGGUGAGGUAAUGGCUCACCAAGGCUAGAUCAGUAUCCGGCCUGAGAGGGCGCACGGACACACUGGAACU
rnacentral:rRNA from 1 species